UACGUAGGUGGCAAGCGUUGUCCGGAUUUACUGGGCGUAAAGAGCGCGCAGGCGGUCGAUUUAGUCGCGUGUGAAAGCCCCCGGCUCAACUGGGGAGGGUCACGCGAUACUGAUCGACUCGAAGGCAGGAGAGGGAAGUGGAAUUCCCGGUGUAGUGGUGAAAUGCGUAGAUAUCGGGAGGAACACCAGUGGCGAAGGCGGCAUCCUGGACCGGCAUUGACGCUGAGGAGCGAAAGCGUGGGGAGCGAACAGG
rnacentral:rRNA from 1 species